rnacentral:rRNA from 1 species
GAUGAACGCUGGCGGCGUGCCUAAUACAUGCAAGUCGAGCGAACAGACGAGGAGCUUGCUCCUCUGACGUUAGCGGCGGACGGGUGAGUAACACGUGGAUAACCUACCUAUAAGACUGGGAUAACUUCGGGAAACCGGAGCUAAUACCGGAUAACAUGUUGAACCGCAUGGUUCAACAGUGAAAGACGGUUUUGCUGUCACUUAUAGAUGGAUCCGCGUCGCAUUAGCUAGUUGGUAAGGUAACGGCUUACCAAGGCAACGAUGCGUAGCCGACCUGAGAGGAUGAUCGGCCACACUGGAACUGAGACACGGUCCAGACUCCUACGGGAGGCAGCAGUAGGGAAUAUUCCGCAAUGGGCGAAAGCCUGACGGAGCAACGCCGCGUGAGUGAAGAAGGUCUUCGGAUCGUAAAACUCUGUUAUUAGGGAAGAACAAAUGUGUGAGUAACUAUGCACGUCUUGACGGUACCUAAUCAGAAAGCCACGGCUAACUACGUG